AUUCUGGCUCAGAUUGAACGCUGGCGGCGUGCUUAACACAUGCAAGUCGCGCGUGAAAGGACUUCGGUCCGAGUAAAGCGGCGCACGGGUGAGUAACGCGUGGAUGAUCUACCCAUGAGUUAGGAAUAACGGCUGGAAACGGUCGCUAAUACCAAAUACGCUCCGAUUUCAACUUCGGGGGAAAGGUGGCCUCUGCUUGCAAGCUACUGCUCAUGGAUGAGUCCGCGUCCCAUUAGCUAGUUGGUGGGUAACGGCCCACCAAGGCGACGAUGGGUAGCCGGUCUGAGAGGAUGACCGGCCACACUGGGACUGGAACACGGCCCAGACUCCUACGGGAGGCAGCAGUGGGGAAUAUUGCGCAAUGGGCGAAAGCCUGACGCAGCGACGCCGCGUGAGGGAUGAAAGGUCCUCGGAUCGUAAACCUCUGUCAGGAGGGAAGAACCGCCACGGUGCUAAUCAGCCGUGGUCUGACGGUACCUCCAAAGGAAGCACCGGCUAACUCCGUGCCAGCAGCAGC
rnacentral:rRNA from 1 species